CAAUGCCAUUUGCACCAUUUGACGGGCGGCUUGCAGAGGAUACAGAAGACAAUCUGAGGGCCGCACUGAGUGGAACCCUUACUGUUAGCCUACCUUGGUUGAAUGAAAAGAAGUUGGAUGAAGAUGUCAGUUGCCAUCCAGUGACUGGAUCCUCAGAUCACUAUGCCCUAUAUGACAAAUUCCACGAGUCUAAUUCUAAGGAUGUGCGAGACUCACUCAGAAAGAUCCAGCUUGUUCCAGAGUUGGCUGGUAGUGUUAGCACACAAGCCGCAGAACAGCUUUUUUCUGGAAUGCGGAAGAAUAACUACUUCCUGAAUAUGUCUCCCACCACUCACAUGUUUUUUGUCAGAAAUAUUUUGCACAUUCAGAAUCAAGAGAAAAACAAAUCAAUGCUGAAAAAAAAUCCAAAAGGGCCACUCAAAAACUACUGUGAAUCUCCAAAAAGAUUCCCUUGGACGUUUGGUUGUAGAUAAGGAGAACAGGGGUCCUGAAAGAACCAGACUACACAUGAUUAAACCUACUAAAGCUUGCUGGGGCAAGCCACUGAAUCGAUCACAGUGUAAACUGGUGACUCAAGCUCUUUCAGUAAGUAAGGAUGAUGAAGUGGGUUCUACAGUAAUAAAACAGAAAGACUUUACAACUCUGACAGAACUUUCUGAGGUUGAAGGAAGUGUAAGAAACACUGGAGAAACCUCUGUACCCAUGAAAUAUCCAAAUAAUAAACACGCGAUUACGAUAGUAAAUGGGUUGUAUGUGAUUUUCUUGAGAUUUGGGGCAUUUUUUAUAAAAAAUAUUAUUAUGCAUAUCUGUAAUGCUAAUUUGUGCAACGAUAUUAAAGGCUAUAAAUAGCAUAUUUUAACAACAGUAAAUGACCAAAUUCCACAUGUGACCGCAAAAGGGAGUUAUUACAAACACUCGUUGGUGGUUUAAAGUGAGUUUUGAGUAAAAGUGUACUAAUAAUUUCAUAAAUUGCCUUAUGUAGCUUGAUGCUAUUGUUAACGCUAAUGCAGCUACAUAACAGGUGUGGUUCUACUUCAUAAUGCAUUUUGUCAUAAUAAUUUACGUAAGGUCGUAA